rnacentral:rRNA from 1 species
CCUAACACAUGCAAGUCGAACGAAGGCUUCGGCCUUAGUGGCGCACGGGUGCGUAACGCGUGGGAAUCUGCCCUUGGGUUCGGAAUAACAGCGAGAAAUUGCUGCUAAUACCGGAUGAUGUCGCGAGACCAAAGAUUUAUCGCCUGAGGAUGAGCCCGCGUUGGAUUAGGUAGUUGGUGGGGUAAAGGCCUACCAAGCCGACGAUCCAUAGCUGGUCUGAGAGGAUGAUCAGCCACACUGGGACUGAGACACGGCCCAGACUCCUACGGGAGGCAGCAGUGGGGAAUAUUGGACAAUGGGCGAAAGCCUGAUCCAGCAAUGCCGCGUGAGUGAUGAAGGCCUUAGGGUUGUAAAGCUCUUUUACCCGGGAUGAUAAUGACAGUACCGGGAGAAUAAGCUCCGGCUAACUCC